rnacentral:rRNA from 1 species
UACGGGGGGAGCAAGCGUUGUUCGGAUUUACCGGGCGUAAAGGGCGCGUAGGCGGCGCAACAAGUCACUUGUGAAAUCUCCGGGCUUAACCCGGAGCGGCCAAGUGAUACUGUCGUGCUAGAGUGCGGAAGGGGCUACUGGAAUUCUCGGUGUAGCGGUGAAAUGCGUAGAUAUCGAGAGGAACACCUGCGGCGAAGGCGGGUAGCUGGGCCGACACUGACGCUGAGGCGCGAAAGCCAGGGGAGCGAACGGG